rnacentral:rRNA from 1 species
UACGUAGGGGGCAAGCGUUGUCCGGAAUCAUUGGGCGUAAAGCGCGUGUAGGCGGCUCGGUAAGUCUGCUCUGAAAGCCCGGGGCUCAACCCUGGGAGGCGGGUGGAUACUGCUGAGCUCGAGUCCGGAAGAGGCGAGUGGAAUUCCUGAUGUAGCGGUGAAAUGCGCAGAUAUCAGGAGGAACACCAAUGGCGAAGGCAGCUCGCUGGGACGGUACUGACGCUGAGACGCGAAAGCGUGGGGAGCAAACAGG